UGGGGAAUAUUGGACAAUGGGCGAAAGCCUGAUCCAGCCAUGCCGCGUGUGUGAAGAAGGUCUUCGGAUUGUAAAGCACUUUAAGUUGGGAGGAAGGGCAGUAAGCGAAUACCUUGCUGUUUUGACGUUACCGACAGAAUAAGCACCGGCUAACUCUGUGCCAGCAGCCGCGGUAAUACAGAGGGUGCAAGCGUUAAUCGGAAUUACUGGGCGUAAAGCGCGCGUAGGUGGUUCGUUAAGUUGAAUGUGAAAGCCCCGGGCUCAACCUGGGAACUGCAUCCAAAACUGGCGAGCUAGAGUAGGGCAGAGGGUGGUGGAAUUUCCUGUGUAGCGGUGAAAUGCGUAGAUAUAGGAAGGAACACCAGUGGCGAAGGCGACCACCUGGGCUAAUGCUGACACUGAGGUGCGAAAGCGUGGGGAGCAAACAGG
rnacentral:rRNA from 1 species